CGUGCUAAAGAUGCAAAGAACGCCAAUAUUUCAAGAUUAUUUUAGAGCGCGUUGGGCUAAAGGGGCACUUGGCUGGUGGGCAGGCUGUCAAUUAACAGCUACACACAAUUUAAACAGGGUAAUCGUUUCGCAAAAAGUUCAUGGUGCCUGGUUUCAAGUCCUCGGUCAAGUCAUCAGGUCUCGAUGACAGCCAUGGACGCUUUCGUGCUGGUGAACGUUAAGGAUGUGCGCAAGAUGCUGAAUAAAAUAAUUAUCCUCAACAGCAACCCACGUCUACAAAAAUUGUGUCGCCUGAGAAAAAAAAAAAAAGAAA